rnacentral:rRNA from 1 species
GACGAACGCUGGCGGCGUGCUUAACACAUGCAAGUCGAACGGAAAGGCCCUGCUUUUGUGGGGUGCUCGAGUGGCGAACGGGUGAGGAACACGUGAGUAACCUGCCCUUGACUUUGGGAUAACUUCAGGAAACUGGGGCUAAUACCGGAUAGGAGCUCCUGCUGCAUGGGGGGGGUUGGAAAGUUUCGGCGGUUGGGGAUGGACCCGCGGCUUAUCAGCUUGUUGGUGGGGUAGUGGCUUACCAAGGCUUUGACGGGUAGCCGGCCUGAGAGGGUGACCGGCCACAUUGGGACUGAGAUACGGCCCAGACUCCUACGGGAGGCAGCAGUGGGGAAUAUUGCACAAUGGGCGGAAGCCUGAUGCAGCAACGCCGCGUGCGGGAUGACGGCCUUCGGGUUGUAAACCGCUUUCGCCUGUGACGAAGCGUGAGUGACGGUAAUGGGUAAAGAAGCACCGGCUAACUACGUG